rnacentral:rRNA from 1 species
GAUGAACGCUGGCGGCGUGCCUAAUACAUGCAAGUCGAGCGAACGGACGAGAAGCUUGCUUCUCUGAUGUUAGCGGCGGACGGGUGAGUAACACGUGGAUAACCUACCUAUAAGACUGGGAUAACUUCGGGAAACCGGAGCUAAUACCGGAUGAUAUUUUGAACCGCAUGGUUCAAAAGUGAAAGACGGUCUUGCUGUCACUUAUAGAUGGAUCCGCGCUGCAUUAGCUAGUUGGUAAGGUAACGGCUUACCAAGGCAACGAUGCAUAGCCGACCUGAGAGGGUGAUCGGCCACACUGGAAAUGAGACACGGUCCAGACUCCUACGGGAGGCAGCAGUAGGGAAUCUUCCGCAAUGGGCGAAAGACUGACGGAGCAACGCCGCGUGAGUGAUGAAGGUCUUCGGAUCGUAAAACUCUGUUAUUAGGGAAGAACAUAUGUGUAAGUAACUGUGCACAUCUUGACGGUACCUAAUCAGAAAGCCACGGCUAACUACGUG